rnacentral:lncRNA from 1 species
GGGGUCUUUGCCAUACCCCGAUAGUUCCAUACUAAUAAUUUCAUUUCAAAUGAUCAUGAUGAUGGACUGCCAAAGCAAGAUCCAUCACAUUUUCAGACUUGGUGAUAGACACAUCACUCUAAAUCACAAGAACAUUUAUAAGCGAGGUAGAUGAAAGAUUACCAUGAAGAACCUUUUUGAAGAUGUUUACACACUCCCUCAUGAGUAUUGCUGACAU